rnacentral:rRNA from 1 species
AGAGUUUGAUCCUGGCUCAUAGUGAACGCUGGCGGUAGGCCUAACACAUGCAAGUCGAACGGCAGCACAGUAAGAACUUGCUCUUACGGGUGGCGAGUGGCGGACGGGUGAGGAAUACAUCGGAAUCUACUUUUUCGUGGGGGAUAACGUAGGGAAACUUACGCUAAUACCGCAUACGACCUACGGGUGAAAGCAGGGGAUCUUCGGACCUUGCGCGAUUGAAUGAGCCGAUGUCGGAUUAGCUAGUUGGCGGGGUAAAGGCCCACCAAGGCGACGAUCCGUAGCUGGUCUGAGAGGAUGAUCAGCCACACUGGAACUGAGACACGGUCCAGACUCCUACGGGAGGCAGCAGUGGGGAAUAUUGGACAAUGGGCGCAAGCCUGAUCCAGCCAUACCGCGUGGGUGAAGAAGGCCUUCGGGUUGUAAAGCCCUUUUGUUGGGAAAGAAAUCCAGCUGGUUAAUACCCGGUUGGGAUGACGGUACCCAAAGAAUAAGCACCGGCUAACUUCCUGCCAGCAGCCGCGGUAAUACGAAGGGUGCAAGCGUUACUCGGAAUUACUGGGCGUAAAGCGUGCGUAGGUGGUUGUUUAAGUCUGUUGCGAAAGCCCUGGGCUCAACCUGGGGAGCUGCAGUGGAAACUGGACGACUAGAGUGUGGUAGAGGGUAGCGGAAUUCCUGGUGUAGCAAUUGAAAUGCGUAUAGAUCAGGAGGAACAUCCAUGGCGAAGGCAGCUACCUGGACCAACACUGACACUGAGGCACNAAAGCGUGGGGAGCAAACAGGAUUAGAUACCCCUGGUAGUCCA